rnacentral:rRNA from 1 species
UACAGAGGGGGCAAGCGUUGUUCGGAAUUACUGGGCGUAAAGGGCGCGUAGGCGGCCGCCUAAGUCAGACGUGAAAUCCCUCGGCUCAACCGGGGAACUGCGUCUGAUACUGGGUGGCUUGAAUUCGGGAGAGGGAUGCGGAAUUCCAGGUGUAGCGGUGAAAUGCGUAGAUAUCUGGAGGAACACCGGUGGCGAAGGCGGCAUCCUGGACCGAGAUUGACGCUGAAGCGCGAAAGCCAGGGGAGCAAACGGG